UACGAACUGUGCGAACGUUAUUCGGAAUCACUGGGCUUACAGGGUGCGUAGGCGGCCUGCUAAGUAGGGUGUGAAAGCCCCCGGCUCAACCGGGGAAUGGCGCCCUAAACUGGCGGGCUCGAGUGAGAUAGGGGUGUGUGGAACUUUCGGUGGAGCGGUGAAAUGUGUUGAUAUCGAGAGGAACGCCGGUGGCGAAAGCGACACACUGGGUCUUGUCUGACGCUGAGGCACGAAAGCCAGGGGAGCGAACGGG
rnacentral:rRNA from 1 species